rnacentral:rRNA from 1 species
AGAGUUUGAUCCUGGCUCAGGACGAACGCUGGCGGCGUGCCUAAUACAUGCAAGUCGAACGAACUCUGGUAUUGAUUGGUGCUUGCAUCAUGAUUUACAUUUGAGUGAGUGGCGAACUGGUGAGUAACACGUGGGAAACCUGCCCAGAAGCGGGGGAUAACACCUGGAAACAGAUGCUAAUACCGCAUAACAACUUGGACCGCAUGGUCCGAGCUUGAAAGAUGGCUUCGGCUAUCACUUUUGGAUGGUCCCGCGGCGUAUUAGCUAGAUGGUGGGGUAACGGCUCACCAUGGCAAUGAUACGUAGCCGACCUGAGAGGGUAAUCGGCCACAUUGGGACUGAGACACGGCCCAAACUCCUACGGGAGGCAGCAGUAGGGAAUCUUCCACAAUGGACGAAAGUCUGAUGGAGCAACGCCGCGUGAGUGAAGAAGGGUUUCGGCUCGUAAAACUCUGUUGUUAAAGAAGAACAUAUCUGAGAGUAACUGUUCAGGUAUUGACGGUAUUUAACCAGAAAGCCACGGCUAACUACGUGCCAGCAGCCGCGGUAAUACGUAGGUGGCAAGCGUUGUCCGGAUUUAUUGGGCGUAAAGCGAGCGCAGGCGGUUUUUUAAGUCUGAUGUGAAAGCCUUCGGCUCAACCGAAGAAGUGCAUCGGAAACUGGGAAACUUGAGUGCAGAAGAGGACAGUGGAACUCCAUGUGUAGCGGUGAAAUGCGUAGAUAUAUGGAAGAACACCAGUGGCGAAGGCGGCUGUCUGGUCUGUAACUGACGCUGAGGCUCGAAAGUAUGGGUAGCAAACAGGAUUAGAUACCCUGGUAGUCCAUACCGUAAACGAUGAAUGCUAAGUGUUGGAGGGUUUCCGCCCUUCAGUGCUGCAGCUAACGCAUUAAGCAUUCCGCCUGGGGAGUACGGCCGCAAGGCUGAAACUCAAAGGAAUUGACGGGGGCCCGCACAAGCGGUGGAGCAUGUGGUUUAAUUCGAAGCUACGCGAAGAACCUUACCAGGUCUUGACAUACUAUGCAAAUCUAAGAGAUUAGACGUUCCCUUCGGGGACAUGGAUACAGGUGGUGCAUGGUUGUCGUCAGCUCGUGUCGUGAGGUGUUGGGUUAAGUCCCGCAACAAGCGCAACCCUUAUUAUCAGUUGCCAGCAUUAAGUUGGGCACUCUGGUGAGACUGCCGGUGACAAACCGGAGGAAGGUGGGGAUGACGUCAAAUCAUCAUGCCCCUUAUGACCUGGGCUACACACGUGCUACAAUGGAUGGUACAACGAGUUGCGAACUCGCGAGAGUAAGCUAAUCUCUUAAAGCCAUUCUCAGUUCGGAUUGUAGGCUGCAACUCGCCUACAUGAAGUCGGAAUCGCUAGUAAUCGCGGAUCAGCAUGCCGCGGUGAAUACGUUCCCGGGCCUUGUACACACCGCCCGUCACACCAUGAGAGUUUGUAACACCCAAAGUCGGUGGGGUAACCUUUUAGGAACCAGCCGCCUAAGGUGGGACAGAUGAUUAGGGUG